UCAGCCUUAUCUAGCCCCUUCACUUUAACAUUUGUAAAUUCUGCCCACACACUACUUCUUAGCUUCUUUGAUGCAGGUUCUAAGCUUGCAUCAGAUUCUUCUUGUUGCCCAACAUCAGGUGGUGUCGGAUUAGAAGAUACCUCCUGAGUUGGUUGACUUGUACUGCCUUGUGUAGGAUUAGAUGUGGUUUCCGGGGUUGUGUUCACUAUAUCCAUUUGAC
rnacentral:lncRNA from 1 species